rnacentral:rRNA from 1 species
AUGAACGCUGGCGGCGUGCCUAAUACAUGCAAGUCGAGCGAACAGACGAGGAGCUUGCUCCUCUGACGUUAGCGGCGGACGGGUGAGUAACACGUGGAUAACCUACCUAUAAGACUGGGAUAACUUCGGGAAACCGGAGCUAAUACCGGAUAAUAUAUUGAACCGCAUGGUUCAAUAGUGAAAGACGGUUUUGCUGUCACUUAUAAAUGGAUCCGCGCCGCAUUAGCUAGUUGGUAAGGUAACGGCUUACCAAGGCAACGAUGCGUAGCCGACCUGAGAGGGUGAUCAGCCACACUGGAACUGAGACACGGUCCAGACUCCUACGGGAGGCAGCAGUAGGGAAUCUUCCGCAAUGGGCGAAAGCCUGACGGAGCAACGCCGCGUGAGUGAUGAAGGUCUUCGGAUCGUAAAACUCUGUUAUUAGGGAAGAACAAAUGUGUAAGUAACUAUGCACGUCUUGACGGUACCUAAUCAGAAAGCCACGGCUAACUACGUG